AUGAUCUGGGCUGCUCGUUUGCCACUGGCCGAGGAUGUUGCACAGAUCAACAGGAGAGGACACUCUCAAUCAGAUUGUGAUGGUAAAGGGAAAGCAGAAUUGGGAGGGAACCGCAAGACUACCUGUCCAGCAAGUGUACAGUUUGAUCCAGGCGACUCAUUCAAGAAACCUAAUACUACAUCGUUGCCACCAACACACAGACCGACGGCUCCUUCAGUGAACCUGAACGCUGGUGGGGGUGAAAGAGGGGCAUCCGAUGAGGACGCUACCCACCCGAAGCCAGUCAAUGGGGGAGCUAUAAGCCGUGCAGCCGCGAGUUCGGAACCACAGGUGGUACCGGCGGUUGUACAGGAGUCAUGUGUGGCGUCAUCUGUUGCAUUGAACUGCUUGGUAUGGAACUGUCGGGGGAUCAGAGGAUCCCGAACAGUACGUGAUCUUGUGUCCCUCAACUCAGUGCAUCAUCCGAGCUUCAUCUUUCUUUGUGAGACUAGACAAAAUAAAGAAAAAGUUAGGCGCCUAUGCAAACGUUUAGGCCUUCGUGGUUUUGCUGGAGUCAGUAGUGUUGGUUUCAGUGGUGGUCUAGCUCUUUUCUGGGAUGAUCAGAUGAUUGUCGAAGUAAAAGAUGUCAAUGAGAGGUACAUAGAUGUGUAUGUUCGAGCCUCUCCGGAUAGUGCCCAGUGGAGAUUAACUUGUGUAUAUGGACAGCCUAGAGUGGAGAACAGACACCUGAUGUGGGAUAAACUAAGAAGUCUGAAGGCUACUUCCAAUCUUCCUUGGGCAGUGGUCGGCGACUUUAAUGAAGCAUUAUGGAAAUUUGAGCACUUUUCCUUUACCAGUCGAUCGGAAGCCCAGAUGUCAGCGUUUCGCGAUGUCUUGGCGGACUGUGAUCUUACCGACUUGGGGUUCACCAGCCGGGGAGAAGGAUGA
rnacentral:rRNA from 1 species